UACGUAGGGGGCUAGCGUUGUCCGGAAUCAUUGGGCGUAAAGAGCGUGUAGGCGGCCCGGUAAGUCCGCUGUGAAAGUCGGGGGCUCAACCCUCGAAUGCCGGUGGAUACUGUCGGGCUAGAGUGCGGAAGAGGCGAGUGGAAUUCCUAGUGUAGAGGUGAAAUUCGUAGAUAUUAGGAAGAACACCAGUGGCGAAGGCAGCUCACUGGCCCGGUACUGACGCUGAGGCGCGAAAGCGUGGGGAGCAAACAGG
rnacentral:rRNA from 1 species